AUUACCCCAAGAUUGCUUGUUUAAUUGGAACACAAUGCAGCCCAGCAAAGCAAACAGUCUCUCUAAUCAUUUCCCAAGAUUGUGCAAACUGCAUCAUAUAUCAUUGAAAAGAAUUGUCGACAUCAAUAAGAUUUCAGUAGGGACACUACAAUUUUCCAGUGUAUUUGAUUUGUACACAAUCAUACAUAUAGCCAACUGCUGCUUUGGAAAUUCGAAAAUCCUGCAGUCCUCAUUUUGUUUCAAGGAGACGACUGUUGCUGAUAUUUCAUGUCCAUGAUUCUACAAAUACAGAGCUCUCUGACAAAAACAUAAGCUUAAACUGAACUUCAAAUACUUCUCCCCGAAAAAAACUCUCUGGCCAUACGGCAGUUUCAGGUGAGACUUCACAAAAUUCAUUUCAAAGAUGUAUAAGCAACUGGCUGUCUUCAUUUCACGAUAGGUCAGUCUCACGUUCUGCUUCUUUCCAAACUCCUUACUGCAUUUGUACAAUUCGAAGCAGAUCCAGGUACAUGGAGUGCCGUAUGAAUCACUAGUUUUUUUGUUUCUUCCCAAAUUUAUUGUGUUUGUGUACUUUGGAGGUAGUCGCAGGUCUAUUAAAUGCUGUUUCACCUUUCUUGCUCGUGUUCCUCCAUUUCAUCUUUUUGUUCCCACCACUUGUGAACUCUUUAACAAACUUCCUCCUCUUCUUAUUUUCUGCUGACUGACCCUUUGUUGAUUUUUGAUAUUCAGAGUGCCUAGCUUUCUUGCUUCCUUUAGGUACACGGCCAUCACCGCUUGGUAUAUGAGGCUCCCUCAAGGAAGGAGGGCUCCAAUUUUCCUUAUUUUCUCUCUUUCUCUUCCUAUGAUGCACUGAACCAUUCUCCUUAGCCACAGAACCUGAUUCUUUGUUCUGCUUAUUCAUCCUAGAAUGACACAAGUUCAAUUACAACAUAUUAUCAGUCUUUUCCCCCCUUCUUUCUUUUAAGCGGGAGAAGGACAAGGGGGAGGUCUGCAAGUAAAAGAUGAACUAAAAGAACAAAUAAGGCAUAACCCUGUGCAGUGGGAAGUAUCCAAAGAGAAGUAAAACAAAUGGACGGAUUUAUCAGACCUCUUGCCAGAUGAAUCUGCAGGCAUUGUUUCUAUAUCAUUUGAUCCAGCUUCCUUGGAAGUAGACUUAUGAUGACGAUUCUGCAAAACAGUCUUGACAAAACCCUUGUACUUGUCCGGUGUAACUAACUCAACUGCAGCAGAACCACACUUCCGCAUCAUGAUCUCCAUUAUGACUGUCACCUUAGAUCUAAAAUGAAAUCUAGAGAUAGAUGACCACAAGAGAACUCCACUGGUGAUGUCUGAUAGAAGAUUUUGCAGGUCUUUAGCUUGCAAGGAUGAUACUAGUACUUUCACAAAACCCAAAAUAGCUUUUGUGACUUCCACAGCUUUGCUUUGCAGCAGAGAUAACAGGGAGGGAACAAGAUCAGGGAUCUUAAGACAGAUGUCUACAUCAUUGUACACCAGUAGAGACAGUGCAGAAACUGCUCCACUCUUUAUGUGAGGAGACGGACCCGAAAGAUAACCCAUUAUCAUGCUGAUCAGUUUGUGAUAAGCUUCACCAGAACCCGCAUCUGAUGAGUUUCUGAAGGCAGAACUUAUCAUGAGGAUUGUAUCAUAAGCCACUUUUCUAGCUUCAUCCUUUGCAUCCUUUAAAGUCAGUAUGAUCUCAUUGAGCAUAAGAAAAGCCUUUGUAUUAUCCUCCUCCGAGCUUAUCUCUAAUGUGUGAACCAUGAGAAUGUGGAAACAAGCAAAUCGAUUCCUUAGAGAUGCAAUAUCAGUUGGAGGCUUCAGGCCAAGUAACAACUCUAUAAGCUCAACAAAUUGAGAACAACAAAACCAGGCAUGUUCCUCCAAAAUUCUGCUUAAAGUGUGAUAUGCUCCACAUUGACCAGUCACAUCAGUUUCCUUAAAGACUUGGACAACAUAAUUAUAUAACAGAUUGAUUAGAUCCUCCUUGGCUCCUUCAACAAAAGAAGCUGCUAGCUCCAUUAUCACACACCUCUUUACAACUUUCUUCUCCACAACACUGCCUUCUUCUGUGUCAAUCGAUUCAUCUCCACAGCUUGUCAGCUGUGCAAAUUCACCUCUGCCAUUCGCAAGUUGAAACCUCUCCAGCAAUGACAUAAAAAUUUUCUUGGUGAUAGAAGAAUCAGUAAUAGAAGCCAAGCAUCCAAUAGCAUCCUUUAUAUAUAAGCGCUUCUCAGGUAGAGAAUUGACAAAUAGGUUCACUAGAGCCUGAAGCAGCUUGGUGGAACAUGAUGCCAAAGCCUUGAUGUUUUUGGUUGCAGUUUUCUUUGAAUAAGUGGGAAUGCUUCUAAACUCCAAAAGAGUAUCCUUCACUGCAUUGCUAUGAGAUUCUCUAGCAUUAUUUCUAGAGAUAAUUGCACUUCUAUUUUGACUGACAAGAACCUGCAAGGCUACAGCAACAUUUUGAUGCAUGAAAGGGUCUUCCUUCAGAAAGGUGAUAAGAAGUUCAGCCAAAGACCCAAACUUUCUGUGAGUGUCAACAGGAUAGUGACAAAAGGCAGGGAGCAAUCCCCAAAGGCCAUGGGCAUAAGCCUGCAGAUCUUCACCAACUGCUGACUUUUUAACUUUACGACUGGCUUUCAAGAAGGAUUUUGCAAGAGGCACAAUAUGCUCCAUGUAAUACCCUAGUGAUGCUCCAACAAUGUGUUUCCUCAAUAUGGGUACCAACCAGGCGUUGGAACAAGUAAAGUUAUCAACAUGAACAGAGAUGGGUAUGAGUGUAAGGAUUCUCUCCGGCCCCAUGGCAACUACAGCAGAUCCAAUGCAAUUCUGAAGAUGUUCUGUGUCAGAUUUCUGCUGGCUGACAAGAUUCAUCAAGUUGGCAAGCUUGAGAACAAGAUUCUUCAUGAAGAUAAAUGAGCCCUCUCGAAGCUUCAGGAAUAAAGCAGAUAUGACUUCCAAAAGAUGCUCAUUCGGAAAUCCAUCAUAUGAGCUCAGAGUAUUCUCAAAGAUAGCACAUGUCGAUUUUAUCAUAUCUGCUUCUUCGCUUUCUUGACUUACAUCUUCAAAUGACUGGCUUUCAUCAAGCAAGAGCUUUUUCUGAUCCAUAAAAUGGUUGAUUAUCUCUUUAAUGAUGCAUGAAGCCUGUGAUGCAGUGGUAGUCUCCCAAGUCAAAAGACCUGCCAUGGAACCACAAACUUUAGGUACAUUCCUUACCCACAAUCUCGAUCCUCCAGCAUCAAGUUUAUCCAAAGCAAUUUUUGACAAAGUUGCUCCAAAAAUGACAGUGUCCAUUGGGUUCUUCUCUCCAAAAGACACAUAUAGAGAAAGAGAUUUUAUAAUGUUUUCCAUGUGUGGGCCGAUAACUUGCUCUCCAGAAGUCUCAAAAAAUGCUUCAAAAAUUUUAAAAAUAUGCCUUGUAAGUGCUGUGAACUGAGAAUGCAUGAGCUGAAGUAUUUCGGACAGAACUUUUGAACUGAUUUUGACAGAGAGAUAUGGAACAGUCAGCUUCAGCAAAUUCAGCAUAUGGAGACCCUCUAGAUGUCCAGGUUUUGAUAAUGUUUCAUCUUUAGACCCCUCAAUAAUCUUCAACUCACUCAUUGUAAGUGCCAUAGGCAUGUAACUUUUGAGCAUCGACAGAACCAAUUUGCUCGACUCCUUGAUAACAGCGGAAGACCGAAGAGACUUAAAAACCUUCUCAAGGCAAUCUUGAGCACUCCUCCUGACCUUAGGCCGCUUAUCAAUGGAGAAUUUAAGCACAGUUUCAAACCCUUCCUUAACAGAGCCCCAAUCCUCCAAAUCACAAAACCCAACAAUCAAAACCCCCAAACACUUGACCAAGCCACUCACACUUGCCGCUCCUAACCCAUCUCUCUCCGCCACUCCCACCAAAACUUUCACUGCCUCGCUCGCCUUAUCGCCCUUAAUCCCCUUGCUCGGAAUCAAGGGCACCACGAUCGAAACAAACGACAAGAGCGCCGCAAACGCUGUGGAAUCUAGGUUUUCGGAAUUGGAGAGGUUAUCGAUCGCAGCAACGAAGUACGCCGUAGGACUUAGGGGGAGGGCCUCAGCGGAGAGAAUGGAGCGGAUGGCGGCGGCGGUGGCGAGGAGAUGGCGGUGUUGCGGGGCUUUAGAGGUGGAAUAGCGGGAUAAUAGUUGUUGGCAGAUAUCGGAGUCAUCUUUGAAUGAAAUUUCUGGCUCAUGUCCAGGUUCUUCUGCUAAGUGGCUGUCAAGGUUUGUCUCCAUGGCAGUGUUUCCUUUUUCUCUUUGAGGAGUUCAGGGUUUUAAGAAAGCUGAUGGGGAUACAAUGAGCAGGGUUUAAG
rnacentral:misc_RNA from 1 species